AUGCAGGGUAGAAGUUGCUUUAACAGUGCUGGGAUGUGCCAUGUCCAGCAGGAAAUAAUUGUGCUUUUUGGUUAUUUAAGGAUAGGGACAACUUUUUCUAUUCUGCCGAAUCAUAAUUGGAUUUUGAUGUAUUGGAUGGAGAUGGAAGGGAACAAGUGUGGGAGCACAUAUAUAUCAAUCAUUAAGCUGCAACCUUAUUCAACUUUCUCGAAUAUAAGAGGAUUAAUCUGUCACCCUCACACUUCUUAUACCCGACACUCACAUUUUUCUAAAUUUUCAAAUUGUCAAUGA